CGCCGCGGUGUUGGGUUUGUUCCGUGCGGCGAAUGCUACCUGGUGUGGAGAGAGGCCGCGCUCUCCAUUUUCGCUGUCCGCCGUUCGCCUCCUUCGCCCCACCACGCUUCGCAUCCUGUUCGACUCGGACUGACUGACCUUCUUCGCCGCCGGUGUGCAUAGCCGUUGUGAUGGCGUUUGUGCGUUCGAUCGGUGCUGCUGGUUAAUACCAGUUUCUUCCACCGCUGUCUCCUGCGCCCGCCGUCGCGCCGUUCUGCCUUUUGCAUUGAGGUCGAUGGUGGGGUGGAUGGGCAGGGGAGGCGGGCGACGAGGGCAGGCAACAGUCGGCCCGUCGCGAUGUGGUGAAGCUACAGGGAAGAGGGAGGAGGUCGGCGAUAGGGUGAAGGAGUAGGCCGGCCCUCGUGGAGGCUGCGCUGCCGGCCGGCCAGGGAGGCGGCCCGGCUCGCCUCUGCUCUGCCGUGAGCGGCAGCGCCGCCUCUGCCUCCACCCUCACCUCCUUUUCCAUGCCUCUUCCUCUGCAUAGUAGCAUGUGCGAGGUUGCGGGCACAGGCAACCAUGGGCAAAUUUUGGGGAGACGCCAAGAUGAGCUUCCCCUCUGUUCCAUGCCCUAAUCUCUCUCUAAAGAUUUGUGUAGCCUAAAUGUCUCUGUACCGUGUAAGCAGGCCCAACCUAAUGCACACCAUCGGCCUGAUGAAUGACCAAAUGAUUUGUUUUUGUUGCCAUAUAGACUAUUGACUGGUGUGUAGGAGCCCUUCUAAUUGGUGUUCUAUGUGUGUUUUCUUUUGUUCUGUUGCAGAAUAAUAAUUCAAGUGGAUGGCCGAUGAGUCUUGUUGUUUAGCGGUAUGAUGGUCGGUGAAAGUAUGUUCUAUGUAUAUUGCAAGGUGAUGGGCUGCUGACUUUUGUUGUCCACUUCUACUGAUUUCUACCCACUUGCUUAAUUUGAUA